ACCGCACGCGUGAGACAGUUUGCC
rnacentral:siRNA from 1 species